CCGACCUUAGCUCAGUUGGUAGAGCGGAAGACUGUCGUGUAAGCAGACAAUCUUUAGGUAGCUGGUUCGACUCCGAUGGGUCAGA
rnacentral:tRNA from 1 species